rnacentral:ncRNA from 1 species
AUGGCGAAAACCGAAAAGCCAACAAAGAGUAGGUA